AUACAUUUCUCGGCCUUUUGAUUAAGAUCAAGUGUAGUAUAUGUUCUUAUCAGUUUAAUAUCUAAUACGUUGGUUAUCGAUCUAUUAUGAUAUUAAAUUAAUUUAUUGUGGGGGAAGGCCCAUCACAGUGGCUUGUCAUUGGGGACCUCGUGCGUUGCCUGUGCGUUGCACUACAACACAGACCUGGUGCACCCCGA